AUUGAACGCUGGCGGCAUGCUUUACACAUGCAAGUCGAACGGUAACAGGCCGCAAGGUGUUGACGAGUGGCGAACGGGUGAGUAAUGCAUCGGAACGUGCCCAGUCGUGGGGGAUAACUACUCGAAAGAGUAGCUAAUACCGCAUACGAUCUAUGGAUGAAAGCGGGGGACCGUAAGGCCUCGCGCGAUUGGAGCGGCCGAUGUCAGAUUAGGUAGUUGGUGGGGUAAAGGCUCACCAAGCCAACGAUCUGUAGCUGGUCUGAGAGGACAACCAGCCACACUGGGACUGAGACACGGCCCAGACUCCUACGGGAGGCAGCAGUGGGGAAUUUUGGACAAUGGGCGCAAGCCUGAUCCAGCAAUGCCGCGUGCAGGAAGAAGGCCUUCGGGUUGUAAACUGCUUUUGUACGGAACGAAACGGCUCUGGUUAAUACCCGGGGCUAAUGACGGUACCGUAAGAAUAAGCACCGGCUAACUACGUG
rnacentral:rRNA from 1 species